GACGAACGCUGGCGGCGUGCCUAACACAUGCAAGUCGAGCGAAGUGAGUACUACGGUACGAACUUAGCGGCGGACGGGUGAGUAACGCGUGGACAAUCUACCCUGUAGACUGGGAUAACACCUCGAAAGGGGUGCUAAUACCGGAUAAUGUCGAGAAGCGGCAUCGCUUUUCGAAGAAAGGAGAGAAUCCGCUAUAGGAGGAGUCCGCGUCCCAUUAGCUAGUUGGUGAGGGUAACGGGCUACCAAGGCGACGAUGGGUAGCCGGCCUGAGAGGGUGAACGGCCAAACUGAAACUGCGACACGGUCCAGACUCCUACGGGAGGAAGCAGUGGGGAAUAUUGUGCAAUGGAGGAAACCCUGACACAGCAACGCCGCGUGGGCGAAGAAGGCCUUCGGGUUGUAAAGCUCAAUAGUAUGGGAAGAUAAUGACGGUACCAUACGAAAGCCCCGGCUAACUACGUGCCAGCCGCCGCGGUAA
rnacentral:rRNA from 1 species